rnacentral:rRNA from 1 species
ACUACGGGUGGCUGCAGUGGGGAAUAUUGGACAAUGGGCGAAAGCCUGAUCCAGCCAUGCCGCGUGUGUGAAGAAGGCCUUCGGGUUGUAAAGCACUUUCAGUGGGGAAGAAAGCCUUGGGGCUAAUACCCUCGAGGAAGGACAUCACCCACAGAAGAAGCACCGGCUAACUCCGUGCCAGCAGCCGCGGUAAUACGGAGGGUGCGAGCGUUAAUCGGAAUUACUGGGCGUAAAGCGCGCGUAGGCGGUCUGAUAAGCCGGUUGUGAAAGCCCCGGGCUCAACCUGGGAACGGCAUCCGGAACUGUCAGGCUAGAGUGCAGGAGAGGAAGGUAGAAUUCCCGGUGUAGCGGUGAAAUGCGUAGAGAUCGGGAGGAAUAACAGUGGCGAAGGCGGCCUUCUGGACUGACACUGACGCUGAGGUGCGAAAGCGUGGGUAGCAAACAGGAUUAGAUACCCCGGUAGUC